rnacentral:rRNA from 1 species
GGAAUAUUGCGCAAUGGGCGAAAGCCUGACGCAGCGACGCCGCGUGAGGGAUGACGGCCUUCGGGUUGUAAACCUCUUUCAGCAGGGAAGAAGCGAAAGUGACGGUACCUGCAGAAGAAGCACCGGCUAACUACGUGCCAGCAGCCGCGGUAAUACGUAGGGUGCAAGCGUUGUCCGGAAUUAUUGGGCGUAAAGAGCUCGUAGGCGGUCUGUCGCGUCGGAUGUGAAAAUCCAGGGCUCAACCCUGGACCUGCAUUCGAUACGGGCAGACUAGAGUUCGGUAGGGGAGACUGGAAUUCCUGGUGUAGCGGUGAAAUGCGCAGAUAUCAGGAGGAACACCGGUGGCGAAGGCGGGUCUCUGGGCCGAUACUGACGCUGAGGAGCGAAAGCGUGGGGAGCAAAC